rnacentral:rRNA from 1 species
UACGGAGGGUGCAAGCGUUAUCCGGAUUCACUGGGUUUAAAGGGUGCGUAGGUGGGCUUGUAAGUCAGCGGUGAAAUCUUCGGGCUCAACCCGGAAACUGCCAUUGAUACUAUUAGUCUUGAAUACUGUGGAGGUAUGCGGAAUGUGUCAUGUAGCGGUGAAAUGCUUAGAGAUGACACAGAACACCGAUUGCGAAGGCAGCGUACUACACAGUGAUUGACGCUGAGGCACGAAAGCGUGGGGAUCAAACAGG